UGUUUAAAUGUUUGUCGUCGGUCAAUCCGACACUUAAACACUAAAACUACGCAGGCUUUCGAUACAAUGUAGGAUACUUAGGCUGUAUUUAUAUUUAUAUACGAAAGCCAAUUAAUAUGGCUUUACUUUAUUGGUGCUACAGGGUAUAUAAAUUCCAGAGAAAAUGUAUAUUUUUAUGAAUAUUAUGCGCGUUACCGAUUCUCUUCAAGGAGGCCAGGCCCAAGCAUUUUUUAAUGGCUAAUUAAAUUGGCACACUCAACUGAACACUUGCCGCACAAACAUUUGCGCAAAGUUGCGGACAACGCGCGUUGACUGUGGUCAGAAAUUCCAAGUACGAGAUCUACUUAUAGAGCUGAGCAGAACUUAAUCGAUUAUUUUGAGAAUCACGGA